UCCUUUAACUAUCCUACACCUUAUCCAGAGAAGCUGCUUCUUUUGGAAAAUCAAGCAGAACAACUAAGCCAAGACAUGUUAAAGAAGUUUGAAGAGAAAGAGCUGUAAUUUUCAGAGGCGUAUUGCUACAUUUGGGGCAAUGCGUACAUAUGUGGUUUCGUUAGCUCCAGCGGGGGCUAAUCCUCUGACAGAGCCACCUCUCACACGAAACACUGAAUGGAGGCGAUCCCGAGAUGGAUGGAGCAGCAGCAGCGCAGGUUGCUGCAGCUGUGCUGCCAGAGAUUGUAAUUCAGGAACCAAUCUCAAGCUGAGCAGAGGAAAAAAUGAGAUGCUUCAUGAAAAUGGCCAAAUGUCAUCACCAGCUAUUUUGUGAGAAGAGCUAUGUUAGGAGCCAUCCACAUGUAAAAUGGACUUUCACCAAAUUCCAUCCAUCUGCCGGUCAUGGAAGCUCACAACAUGUAUGUCUCCUGAGGGAGCCUUUUCGUUUUGUGCUUUUUCUGGCACUAAGAAAUACAGACACUUGUGAUUUACUACUGGGCACUUAUAGGAAUGGAGUCAACUAUUUCCUAAGAAACUCAAAGACUGAAAUGAGAAAUUCAGAAAAUAAAAAUAUUUUCUGUGUUAGAAAACUAUAUACCAGAAAGCCUGAAAAGUGAGGCAAAGGGCACGAAAUUCUGGUUAAUAAGAUGUUGUAGAUUAGUGAGAACUUGAAAAUGUUUUUGCUUCUAGUAUAUUUUUUGGAAUUUCUAAACUAUAUUAGCUCCCUUUCUUACCUUAGGAAUUACAGUAUUGUGAUCAUGUGAGAAGAUAGUUCUAAAUAUUAAUAAAUAUUUUUAACUUCAUCAAAUACGUCGGACAGGACUAAUGGGAAGAUUGGAUGGGAUAAUGGAUCUCCUAAAGUAUCACACACCUAUAGCAACACGCAAACAAAGGAUACCAAUAAAGUAAUACUAUCGUGAAA
rnacentral:lncRNA from 10 species